rnacentral:rRNA from 1 species
UGAGUAGGCGGUUACAUAUGUCAGAUGUAAAAGGCACAGGCUUAACUUGUGUUAGCAUUUGAAACUGUGUGACUUGAGUGCAGAAGAGGUAAGUGGAAUUCCUAGUGUAGCGGUGAAAUGCGUAGAUAUUAGGAGGAACACCAGUGGCGAAGGCGACUUACUGGACUGUAACUGACGCUGAGUCACGAAAGCGUGGGUAGCAAACA